rnacentral:rRNA from 1 species
AGUGAACGCUGGCGGUAGGCCUAACACAUGCAAGUCGAACGGCAGCACAGUAAGAGCUUGCUCUUACGGGUGGCGAGUGGCGGACGGGUGAGGAGUACAUCGGAAUCUACUUUUUCGUGGGGGAUAACGUAGGGAAACUUACGCUAAUACCGCAUACGACCUACGGGUGAAAGCAGGGGAUCUUCGGACCUUGCGCGAUUGAAUGAGCCGAUGUCGGAUUAGCUAGUUGGCGGGGUAAAGGCCCACCAAGGCGACGAUCCGUAGCUGGUCUGAGAGGAUGGUCAGCCACACUGGAACUGAGACACGGUCCAGACUCCUACGGGAGGCAGCAGUGGGGAAUAUUGGACAAUGGGGGCAAGCAUGAUCCAGCCAGACCGCGUGGGUGAAGAAGGCCUUCGGGUUGUAAAGCCCUUUUGUUGGGAAAGAAAAGCAGCAGGUUAAUACCCCGCUGUUCUGACGGUACCCAAAGAAUAAGCACCGGCUAACUUCGUG